rnacentral:rRNA from 2 species
ACGGAAGGCAGCAGUGGGGAAUAUUGCACAAUGGGCGAAAGCCUGGUGCAGCGACGCCGCGUGAGUGAAGAAGUAUCUCGGUAUGUAAAGCUCUAUCAGCAGGGAAGAAAAUGACGGUACCUGACUAAGAAGCCCCGGCUAACUACGUGCCAGCAGCCGCGGUAAUACGUAGGGGGCAAGCGUUAUCCGGAUUUACUGGGUGUAAAGGGAGCGUAGACGGUUUGGCAAGUCUGAAGUGAAAUGCGGGGGCUCAACUCCUGAACUGCUUUGGAAACUGUCGAACUAGAGUGCAGGAGAGGUAAGUGGAAUUCCUAGUGUAGCGGUGAAAUGCGUAGAUAUUAGGAGGAACACCAGUGGCGAAGGCGGCUUACUGGACUGUAACUGACGUUGAGGCUCGAAAGCGUGGGGAGCAAACAGGAUUAGAUACCCUGGUA